rnacentral:rRNA from 1 species
GAUGAACGCUGGCGGCGUGCUUAACACAUGCAAGUCGAACGGGAAAUAUUUUAUUGAAACUUCGGUAGAUUUAAUUUAUUUCUAGUGGCGGACGGGUGAGUAACGCGUGGGUAACCUGCCUUAUACUGGGGGAUAACAGCCAGAAAUGGCUGCUAAUACCGCAUAAGCGCACAGGGCCGCAUGGUCCAGUGUGAAAAACUCCGGUGGUAUAAGAUGGACCCGCGUUGGAUUAGCUAGUUGGCAGGGCAGCGGCCUACCAAGGCGACGAUCCAUAGCCGGCCUGAGAGGGUGAACGGCCACAUUGGGACUGAGACACGGCCCAGACUCCUACGGGAGGCAGCAGUGGGGAAUAUUGCACAAUGGGGGAAACCCUGAUGCAGCGACGCCGCGUGAAGGAAGAAGUAUCUCGGUAUGUAAACUUCUAUCAGCAGGGAAGAUAAUGACGGUAC